AAACUCUGGGCCGAAACAUUCAAUUACCUCAAACUUGGGUAAUUAAACC
rnacentral:snRNA from 1 species